rnacentral:rRNA from 1 species
CCUACGGGUGGCAGCAGUAGGGAAUCUUUCACAAUGGGCGAAAGCCUGAUGGAGCAACGCCGCAUGCAGGAUGAAGGCCUUCGGGUUGUAAACUGCUUUUAUAAGCGAGAAAUAUGAUGGUAACUUAUGAAUAAGGAUCGGCUAACUACGUGCCAGCAGCCGCGGUCAUACGUAGGAUCCGAGCAUUAUCCGGAGUGACUGGGUGUAAAGAGUUGCGUAGGUGGCAUAAUAAGUAGCUAGUGAAAUCUGGUGGCUCAACCAUUCAGACUAUUAGCUAAACUGUUAAGCUCGAGACCGUUAGGGGUAACUGGAAUUUCUAGUGUAGGAGUGAAAUCCGUAGAUAUUAGAAGGAACACCAAUAGCGUAGGCAGGUUGCUGGGACGGUUCUGACACUAAGGCACGAAAGCGUAGGGAGCAAACGGGAUUAGAUACCUGAGUAGUC